UUCAAAAAGGCCAGGCUCAGGCCUAAAAAAUAAGCCUACGACAGGCUACAGGCCAGACUUAGGCUUUAGUUUUUUUGACAGGCCAGGCUUAGGCUUGGUAAAGCCUAGCUCGGCCCAGCCUAUUUCCACCCCUAUGUUCAGGUACGAUCAACUUGUAAUGCCAUUUUGAACUGAUGUGUAAUUUUGAUAUGUCUCUUUGUUAAUGCUUGUUGAAAUGAUAUAACUUAUAAUGUCAUUUAGAAUUGUGUGAAAAUUGGUCCCUUUACUUUAUGUAUGUUUCAAAUGAGUUCUUUAACGUUAUUUGUCUACGUGUCAUGCCACAUAGCCGAUACUUAACGUUUUUUUAUAUAAACAAACGUAAGAGACCAUUUCAUAUAACGGGAUGUUAGUUAAAGGAGCAUAGUGUAAUAUUUUUUAAUUAAAAGACUAAAAUGAAACAUUGAAUUAAGUUAAGGGAUUUGGAGACUAAUGGUACCUAAAAUAAAAGAUUAAAAGCAAAAUAUAAUUAUUUGACUGUGAGAAUAAUAACAUAACUGAAUGAACUCACGUGCUAGUUCUUUUCCGUUCUAUUCCCACAUAAACCAAUUUCAGCUCGUUCAAUCCCAAACAUCUCUCAAUCUUGCUCGUCCCUUCUCUCCGAUCGCCGCCGUGCCUCACUCUCUGAUCGGAUUUCUGUACGGUAUCUGCGUUACAAGAAUCUCAACUCUCUUUGACAUCAAUAGACAAGCUCAAUGGACAGUAUGGUUGAUUCUCUAAGUAAAGCCUAUGAAGAUUUUGUUGCUGCAGCAGCAACUUUUCUUGAAGCCAAGGAAACUUCCGGUGCCCUUAAAGACGCAGCAACAGAAACAGCUCUUCAAAGCUUUAAGCAAAAAUGGGAAUUGUUUAAAGUAGCAUGUGAUCAAGCCGAGGAGCAUGUGUUUUCUGUGAAAAAAAGGAGAAGAUCGGAGUGUUUUUUGCAUAAGCAGACGAGGGUAAAUUGAGGUUAGUCAGGCUAUGAAAAUUUUCAAACUGAUUUUAUAUGUUGUGUACAAUGGAGGCAUAAGAAACAUAGUAGUAUGUGAGAAUCCUCUUGAUUGAGUGAUGGAUCGGUAUACUUCUUUUUAGUGUGCUAAGGUAUAUGCCCUGGUGCUCAUUGGUGUAGCUGCUUUCUGAACUAUUGAUGCUCAACACUCUUUAACUCAUAUACACAUUCCUUUUGAUUCCCCAAAAUUUCAUAUCUGUUUCUCUA